rnacentral:ncRNA from 1 species
CGUAGGACAGUCCUUCCGCUGGUAACACUUGCCGAAGCCUUAGCAGCCUGAAAGGGGCCCCUCGACGACUUGAAAUAAAAUUAGAGGGUCUCAAAUGCUAGUCCACUGUAUACAGGAUGGGCAACACUGUCAAAUUGCGGGGAACCCCUAAAGACCUUGACACCAAGCGUCUGCUGGAAACAGCGGCGUGGCCGAGCUAACAGCCCUGGGUAUGGUAAUAGUUCAAGGUAUGAGCCCGAGUGAUUGGGUGAAAUGGGCGAUCUGCAGCCAAGUCCUAAGGCCUCUAGGCUAUGGAUGCUGUUCACAGGCCAAAUGGCAGUGGGUGGGAGUAUCAUCUCCUGCUUAAGAUAUGGUCGGUCCCCUUGUGAAAGCUUGGGGGUAAGUUUACCGGAGUGAGAAAUAAUGAGCAAUUUUACCAGGUGUUCUAUAACUGUAAGAAUAUCUGCGCUUGUUCGUUUGCGGUUCUCAGAAAUUCUGAGUACUUUUACGUUCCGUAGGUGAACCUGCGGAAGGAU